CCUACGUGAUGCAGCAGUGGGGAAUAUUUGUCAAUGGACGCAAGUCUGACCCAGCAACGCCGCGUGAAGGAAGAAGGCUUUCGGGUUGUACACUUCUUUUAAGGGGGAAGAGCAGAAGACGGUACCCCUUUAAUAAGCCACGGCUAACUACUUGCCAGCAGCCGCGGUAAUACGUAGGUGGCAAGCGUUGUCCGGAUUUACUGGGUGUAAAGGUCGUGCAGCCGGAGAGACAAGUCAGAUGUGAAAUCCACGGGCUCAACCCGUGAACUGCAUUUGAAACUGUUUCCCUUGAGUGUCGGUGAGGUAGUCGGAAUGCUUGGUGUAGCGGUGAAAUGAGUAGAUAUAAGGAAGAACACCAGUGGCGAAGGCGGAUUACUGAACGAUAACUGACGGUGAGGCGCGAAAGCGUGGGGAGCAAACAGGAUUAGAUACCCGGGUAGUC
rnacentral:rRNA from 1 species